CUACGGGGCGCUGCAGUGAGGAAUAUUGCACAAUGGGGGGAACCCUGAUGCAGCAACGCCGCGCGGAGGAUGACGCAUUUCGGUGUGUAAACUCCUUUUAUAUGUCAAGAAAAUGACGGUAGCAUAUGAAUAAGCACCGGCUAACUCCGUGCCAGCAGCCGCGGUAAUACGGAGGGUGCAAGCGUUACUCGGAAUCACUGGGCGUAAAGGACGCGUAGGCGGGUUGGAAAGUCAGGUGUGAAAUCCUACAGCUUAACUGUAGAACUGCACUUGAAACUUCUAAUCUAGAGUAUGGGAGAGGGAGAUGGAAUUAGUGGUGUAGGGGUAAAAUCCGUAGAUAUCACUAGGAACACCUAAAGCGAAGGCGAUCUCCUGGAACAUUACUGACGCUAAGGCGUGAAAGCGUGGGGAGCAAACAGGAUUAGAUACCCCGGUAGUC
rnacentral:rRNA from 1 species